rnacentral:rRNA from 1 species
UGGGGAAUUUUGGACAAUGGGGGAAACCCUGAUCCAGCCAUCCCGCGUGUGCGAUGAAGGCCGUCGGGUUGUAAAGCACUUUUGGCAGGAAAGAAACGUCAUGGGUUAAUACCCCGUGAAACUGACGGUACCUGCAGAAUAAGCACCGGCUAACUACGUGCCAGCAGCCGCGGUAAUACGUAGGGUGCAAGCGUUAAUCGGAAUUACUGGGCGUAAAGCGUGCGCAGGCGGUUCGGAAAGAAAGAUGUGAAAUCCCAGAGCUCAACUUUGGAACUGCAUUUUUAACUACCGGGCUAGGGUGUGUCAGAGGGAGGUGGAAUUCCGCGUGUAGCAGUGAAAUGCGUAGAUAUGCGGAGGAACACCGAUGGCGAAGGCAGCCUCCUGGGAUAACACUGACGCUCAUGAACGAAAGCGUGGGGAGCAAACAGG